GCCAGGCAUGGCAGCUGGCGCCUGUAAUCCCAACUACUUGAGAGGCUGAGGCAGGAGAAUUGCUUGAACCCAGGAGGUGGAGGUUGCAGUGAGUUGAGUAGCAGAGCAAGACUCUGUCUCUCUGUCUCUCUCUCUCUCUGUCACACACACACACACACACACACACACACACACACACACGCACACACAGAGAAACAUCCCAGUGUGGUUAAACCUCUGGGCCUCUUCCUGCCUCUGAUUUUCAUCAAUGAGAAUGGGAGAAUAUUAACUUCUCUCACAGGAUACAGAGUAUGUUAAGGAGUCGUAAUUCAUCAAUGUUGUAUUGGUUUUUCUCUUUCUUUCUUUCUUUCUUUUUUUUUUUAUCCUUUGUUGGUGCUUUGCUGUCUGUGUGGAGGACACAGAGAGUCAUAAACCACGAUCUCCUCUCUUCCAGAGUUCCUUCUUGGCGUUAGAGUCAUCGGCCGGCUGUGUUGUAGCCAAUGUGCUGAGCUUUGCGGCUCCUGGAGCUAGCUCCCUUCCUCUCCGCUGCCUCCAUGCGUGGAGGUCACUUGCUGGAACGCAGAUGUGUGCAAUGCCCAGAGAUCCAAGUAAAAUAUCUCAACCGGUUCUUGUGGUUGUGGAAACACCUUUGGCUCCCAGAUGGUUGACACUGACAAACAGAAGUCCCUGCUCCGUCUGACAUCACGUGGCUCAGCUGCCUUCUCAAAAAGUGAGCUUCCUGUGUGGAUAAGGCAGCCCCAUAGCCAGCCUGGCAACAGACAGCUUCAUGAGAAGGGAAAAGAUGAAGACGGAUUCCCGGGCGAGGCCGACAGUGAGGCCGACAGUGGAUCCGCCAUUCCUGCCUGAGCCUCUUCCACAGCUGUCCUUUUUAGAGGUCACCAGACCUUCCUCACACAGACCUCAUGGUGCCCGCACCUGGACUCAUUAGAAGUCUUAGGGCUGGAAGAGAUGCAGCUCUGGGCUGGCUCUGAUGCGGACUUGUCACAAAGGCUUGGCUCUGCCCACGUGACCGUAUCCUUGGAAGAAAAAAAAAAUGGGGAUGCACAAAGUGACCAGCACAGGGUAUUCGUGAUGACCGGGGAACAGAGAUUGAGAAAGCAAGAGCCUUCCUGGCAAAUCUGGGUUCAGACGCGGCAGAGACAGCUGUUUCCAGCCACUGCUAUGAACCCAUCUAAGUGAAAUUGUGAGGACUAAGGAGAGAGGCACCCAUGACUGCCUUAAUCCACUCCUACCCAUCGUCUCUUCACCCAUCCACCCAUCCUUGCUGCAGACCUUUACUGGGCACCUGUGCCAGGAGACCAUCACUGCCCAUCAGAAGCUCAUACAGGGAGAAGCAGUGGCCACAGCAGAAGGCGUCCCGGGUCCUAGAGAGCACCUGGAGAACAAGGGAGAGCUGCAGAAACCGCCCUGUCUGCAUGUGUGCCCUCAUGUUCUUGGGUGCAUGUCUGUGUUUGUGUGUGUGUUUGCUUAUGUGCAUGUGCAGUGUGUGUGUGUUCGAGACAGAGCGAGACUGAGAGUGCAAGUGGGUGUAAGCACACACACCCACCCGUCAGCCCUGCCUGUCUGCUCAGAGUUUUGCCUGUCACCCGGCCACGCCCUGUGACCCCCCUCCUCGGCUGGGUGCAGCCAGGACACCUGUUGCCAGCUGCGAGCACCUGCCUGGUUGCUGCGCCCGUGUCCUGUGCAUGUUCCAAGCCAGCCCCCUGGGGUAAUCCAGGCCAUGACUCAGGAACGUCAUGUUGGGACACCCGAGACCCCCAGCCCCUGCCCUAGGGGUCAGGGCAGCAGGUCCCAUCUCCCUUAGCUGGGCUGGGCCCAGGCAGCCUGUAUCACUGUUUGCUCCAGAGGCUGGGUGCGUCCUGCUUGGGGGCUGUGUGAGGCCCGCUUGUUUUCACCCACAGAUUCCCAGGGUUCUCAAGGCAGAGGAAAGCGACAAUUAGGGCAACACCCAUGUUGGUUGGAUCAGAGUGAAUCCCAGGCCUGCUUGGGAGGCUUUAGGCACUCAGCUCGGCCAUCUCUGAGGGUAAGGGCAUGUCAGCCACUCUGCUGGGGCAUCUCUGUGCUCAGCACCAUGUGGGCUCAUCACAGACACAAGAGUGCGUCCUCUCAGAGGGAAUGGUCUGGCAGGUUUUGCCUGUUUUCCUGCUCACAGGUUGAAUUUCUUGGCCAGCAUCCCAUAGCCAGGCCAGAGCGGAGCAGGGCUGCCUGCUGCACCCAGUGGCUUCUUGUCAAUCUCGGCCUCUCGUUCCCUGCCUGGGAGAGGGUCUCAGUGUGAAGGGCAGAGGGGUCUUCUGGAACCAGCCAGUGCUGUGUCGGAGAGAAAGACCAGGAGGAAAUUGGAGGGGUACAGGCCUGAAACUCUCCCGCUGCCUUGCCAGGCACCCAAACCUGCUUGACCUGAGUGUCUUUCCGGCGGCGGGUGGGGGGGAGGGGGGUGGGGCGUGCUGCAUCGCUUACUUUGCCUGUGUCUUAGGGGAGCCUACCCAUUGCCCUCCAGCACCGGCGAACAAAGACCCCCACGGUGGCCAGGCCUGUGCGGGGUGUAAACAGUGUCCCAGGGUGUCUUGGUGUCCUCACUACUACAUCCUCCACGUUCCAGAGGAGAAACUGAGGCCCGAGGACACCCAGAAUUUCCCAGGGUCACACCAAGGGGAAACAGGUGACGUUGAAGUGGACACAGGGUGAUGAGAGGGGUGCAGAAAAGGAGAUACCCUGGCAUGCCAAGCCUGGGGCUGGUUGUCCACAUCCAGGAAGGUCCCUGCAAGGUUGUGGCACCUUUUCAUGGCAAGCAGACGCAGCACCAUGAAUACCCACAGCCACUCCUAAGGGCCCCUUCAUGCGGUGGCUGUGCCCAGCACUGGGCACGCAGGAACCAAGGCCCAGAGAGUUCUGGGUGGGUGGGGAGAGCUAGAGCCUUCCUUCUGGGCUCCAGGGCUUUUCAGUAGCACCACUGGCUUUCUAGAAGGUUGCUGUGUGAUUGGAAACUUGUGCUUUGAGAUACGAUUAUCUGUGUGGGGAGGAGGUUGUACUGGAGUCAGCAGUGAGGGGUGGCAGCACUAGGCCAGAAAUGGAUGUGGGGUCCUCUUGCGUGGAGCUGCCACUCCCCCAGCCACUCUGUCCUUACAACCAAAACCCCAAAAGGGGGCUGAGCCGGCCCUUGUGAGUGAGAGUAGAGGAGAAGGAAGGGGCUGUGGGGGGAGAGAAGCACAUGGAGCUGGCCCACGUGGAGAGAGGGACCCUGGGUGGCAGGGUGGCGUUGGGGGAGAUUUGCCAUCAGAGUGACCUUAGUGACUGUGCCACCUCGACCCUGACCUGGGCAAUGCCUGUGAGGGCACUGGGGCCCAAGGUCCCAGAGGAGCAGGGGAACUAAGAUGUGGCUCUCACAGAACCUCAAAUGUAUCUCCAGACAUCCACAUAUCUGCACCUGACACACAUUUCUGGAACAGCUACUUGGCCAAGCACCACCAGUUUGUCUCUAUGCCCCUCUUGCUGGGGAGCCCAGUCUGGGGCAAAGGAAGGCACAGGGGCAUCCGCUCCAGGCUUUCCAGAAUAGGCAGAACACAGAAGGGGUGCCCGCCGGACACGCGGAGGGAGGAGAUGAGAAGAGUCCCCAGCGCCAGAAGGGGUGGAGACGGCCUUGCUGGGGCAGGGCCACAGGUCACCUGCUGCUGGGCUCUGGCUGCAGUGGGAAACAACCAAAGUUUUAAAAAGAGGGUGAACCUCUUAGGAAAGGAAAUGACAUUUAUAAAGAGGUAGGGACGUGGGGGCAGGGAUGAUGGCCUUGGUGGCCACAGCUCUUAAACCAGUGGGGAGGAGGCAGCCACGCCAGCAUGGUGAGAUCCAAGCCGCAGUGACGGGGCUGCACUCGCUCCAGGUAGAUUGCUCAAAUGGAAGCUUCUGGAUGGAUAACUAAGGCAGCACAACCCCCAGUCAUUGUCUGAGGGCCACCCUGGGGGAUGGAGCGAGUGCAGGCCAAGUGGAUGCAGGGCCCACGGCCAGUUUCCAGGGUGAGCUGCAGGGCAAGCCGUGGGAAGCCCCAGAGGCAGACGCUGAGGGAUGGGCACCCCAAGAGAGUCCAGGGAUCCGAGGCCACCUGGGUGGAGCCCGGACAGCGUCUACUCCAGGGAGCAAAGCUGAGGCAGGAGCCGAGGGCUUUCCAGUGGAUGUGGAGACUUCGGCUUACUCCCGCACUGACUUUAUCCCAUUUCUGAGCCUGUCGGCACGUGUAGAGCAUUUUGGGCUCAGUUUCUCUAGAGACUAACUGUGGCCUCCCAUGGGGUGGGGACAGGACAGUCUCCCGGCUGCAUGGAAUGGGAUGCCGACCGAGGGACGGGCUCUCUCUUAAAGACUUGCCACCACACCUCUCUUGUCCAUGCCAGGCUUCUGGGGUCCCCUCUGCUGCAGGUGCUUCGGGAGUCUCAGUGGUUCUUCAGGGCAAAGCUGGCCCUGACCGUGUGCUGCAUGCCCGGAGGUCUGACAUCGGUGCUGCUGAGUGGCCUGCCGUGGUUCUCUUGGUUUCCCAUCUUGCAAAGAGUCGGUGAACUCUCACCUGCUCUUGUCUCCUCGUCUCUGUGCCCUGUCCUCCUGCGGGGCUUGGGAAACCAUAGGUGAUAAACACAUGAGCCAAUCUGCCAUCUCCACUGGAGCCAAUGCUCUUUCUGUGUUCCCAUUGGCCUGCCUAGGACUGAGGUCAGCUCCAGGGUCAGAGGCAGGACUGGAGUUGGGUUCUAACUGAGGCAGAGACAGGGCUUGGGAGAAGAAAUCAAGGUGGAGGGCAGAGGCUCCAGGUCUUUGCCAGGCUCACCUCAGAAGUGGGUGUGUCAGGCUGUCCAGAGUGGAGUGCACAGAAGCUGGGGCUUUGACAAGGGCAGGGUGACCAGUCCAGGCUGGCCUCAAAGGCAAGAGCUUGACUGCAGGGCCAGCAGGCGUGUGAUGUGGGUGGGCCCUAAGGAGGCUGAGGGAGAGGAUAAACUGUGAAGAGCCAGCAGCCCAGAAGCUAAAUGCAGGGAGGCAGAGAAGACAGGAGAGAUGGAGGCUUGCAGGACCUGGUGGUUGGGGAGGGCCAGUGACCAGGUGUUUAGAAGCAGCACCUCCUGUGAUUGGGGCUGAGGGUGAACUCUGCUUUCAAGCAGAGGUGGUUUGUCGUGGGUCUUCCAUGAUGACACCAGGUCAAGGUAGGCUGUUAGCACUGAGGCCUGUGGGAAGGCGAGGCCCGUGGGCAGAGUCCCAGAAUGGGAGGAAAAUGAAGACAGCCACUGCAGGGACUUGGGUGUCAUUCUGAAGGAAGCCACUUAAUGGUAAAUGGAGCAACAACAUGGUAGCCUUUCCUCUGGGGGAGCCCAGAGACAAGGGGGGUCUGGGGAGGCAGGCAGGCAGGCAGGCAGGUCAGGCCAGGGAGGGGCUGUGCCCAGCAGGGAAUGGAUGGCACACUCCCUCCCAGAAAGGCUGCUGCAGGGCUCAGCACUCUGAACCUUAAAAGGUUUACCCAACAGAGCCUCCAGAUGCUCAGAGUCUUGCAGGCUCAGAACAAGAAUUGUCAACUUGCCAAGAUGAAUCUGUCUCUCGGGGGAGGACCCACACAGAACAAACGUUUGAAGCAGAAGUUUGCUUGGUAAACAUGGAAUCGGAACAUGGGAAUUGGGCCACUGGGAUAUUCAAUUGCGUCAGACCAUUGUAGCUGAUACUCCUGGACAGAGGGGCUUUGCCAACUGGACAGAUAUAUGAAGUGUUGCUGACCGAGCUCCUUGCUCUGUGUGGGAGGGAUCUUGCCAGCUCCAGCCUUGGUGGGUCUCCUUUUUCUGUUUCCAAGCUUAAAUAAGCACUUGGCUGUUCUGAUUAGCACUUUUAAAAGCUGUGUUAAUAAGUUCAAUUAAAAUAGAAGAAUCUCUCAUUCUGUCAUAUCGGGUUUUUUUAAUUGCAAACCAAUAAAACUUAAAUGAACUUGAGCAAAA
rnacentral:lncRNA from 10 species